UGGGGAAUCUUGGACAAUGGGCGAAAGCCUGAUCCAGCCAUGCCGCGUGAGUGAAGAAGGCCUUAGGGUUGUAAAGCUCUUUCGGCGGGGACGAUAAUGACGGUACCCGCAGAAGAAGCCCCGGCUAACUCCGUGCCAGCAGCCGCGGUAAUACGGAGGGGGCUAGCGUUGUUCGGAAUUACUGGGCGUAAAGCGCACGUAGGCGGACUGUUAAGUCGGGGGUGAAAUCCUGGGGCUCAACCUCAGAAUUGCCCUCGAUACUGGCAGCCUUGAGUACGGGAGAGGUGAGUGGAAUUCCCAGUGUAGAGGUGAAAUUCGUAGAUAUUGGGAAGAACACCAGUGGCGAAGGCGGCUCACUGGCCCGUAACUGACGCUGAGGUGCGAAAGCGUGGGGAGCAAACAGG
rnacentral:rRNA from 3 species